ACUCCCUACCGGGAGGCAGCAGUGGGGAAUAUUGCACAAUGGGGGAAACCCUGAUGCAGCCAUGCCGCGUGUGUGAAGAAGGCCUUCGGGUUGUAAAGCACUUUCAGUAGGGAGGAAGGUAGUGUAGUUAACACCUGCAUUAUUUGACGUUACCCUACAGAAGAAGCACCGGCUAACUCCGUGCCAGCAGCCGCGGUAAUAC
rnacentral:rRNA from 1 species